CUGAAAACUGCAGUUUUAACUCCUCAUAGAGAUGGCCCUGAGUAACUACAGCACUUCACUGCUUAGAAGACAUUUUCACCACUGGAGAGAGAAACUUGCUGAGCAGAGAUACAUGCAGGAACUGGAGCGUCGUGCAGACAUUUGGUUUGUAGACCGUAUGCUACCUCGGUGUUUCCAGUCUUGGGUUGAGUUUACCCUCCACAGCAG